UACGAAGGGGGCUAGCGUUGCUCGGAUUUACUGGGCGUAAAGGGCGCGUAGGCGGACAGUUAAGUUGGGGGUGAAAGCCCGGGGCUCAACCUCGGAAUUGCCUUCAAUACUGGCUGUCUUGAGUGUGAGAGAGGUGUGUGGAACUCCGAGUGUAGAGGUGAAAUUCGUAGAUAUUCGGAAGAACACCAGUGGCGAAGGCGACACACUGGCUCACUACUGACGCUGAGGCGCGAAAGCGUGGGGGGCAAACAGG
rnacentral:rRNA from 1 species